CAGUAGCCGCGGUAAUACGAAGGGGGCUAGCGUUGCUCGGAAUGACUGGGCGUAAAGGGCGCGUAGGCGGCGGCCAAAGUCAGGCGUGAAAUUCCCGGGCUCAACCUGGGGGCCGCGUUUGAUACUUGGUUGCUUGAGUGGGGAAGAGGGUCGUGGAAUUCCCAGUGUAGAGGUGAAAUUCGUAGAUAUUGGAAAGAACACCGGUGGCGAAGGCGGCGACCUGGUCUUUAACUGACGCUGAGGCGCGAAAGCGUGGGGAGCAAACAGGAUUAGAUACCCGUGUAGUCCCUGUCUCUUAUAC
rnacentral:rRNA from 1 species